GGGGGCGGGAGCGUGUUGCUGAGAGAGGCCUAUUUAUUCAGACGCUUCUCGGCCUCUCUGUGCUGCAUUUCUUUCCUCCAGAUACAGGGCGGUUCAUCUCUCACAUGAGGGUCUUACGAUCUACUUGCAGGAAAGAUGAGGAGACAGCCAGAGCAAUGGACGAAGAUAGAGGCACUGAAGCCAACUGGGAAACUACCACAAUAAUCCAGGAUGCCGGUGACAUGAACUAAGGUGGGUGAGAGGAUGAAUCAAGGCUGGCCAGACACAUUCAGAGGAUGUGCCUAUGUUCUGGAAACUUUGAAAACUACUCCUUUCACAUACUAGAAGCAUGGAAGAUCCAGCUGCCCUCUAAGGCCUCAAGUCAAUCGUCCCUUAUCCACCAAAAUGACUAAAUACCAUCUGACACUUUCCUUCUCUCCUGCUUGAGUCUGAAGACACAUUUGGAGUCUCUUGCCACCAGCAGAAUGACAACCCUUGUAGGUCUGUCGGGAAACCUGCAAGAAACCUGAGAUGGGAAAAGGUCAAGAACUGAAAACCAAUUGAAAAACCAUAUUGUAUUUACUGGGACACGUGCAUGGAAAGAUGUGGAAGAUACAUUUUAGAUUUAGAUUGAAGGAGAGAAAGAGUCAUCGCCUAUAUUCCUAUCACUCACAUUCCAUCUAUCCACGUUCAUACAUAAAUCAUGGAGGAUACGCAGCUCCAGAGCCACCUUGCAUCAAAAUGGAGUCAGAUUAAAGGGUUCACCAGGUAGCACUAUAUACCUCAUUUAUGUGCCCUUAAAAAACUUAGGGAGAUUCAUUCAAGUAUGGUAUGGCUUAAAAUGACCAAGUAAAAUCUGAACCACAUGCUUUCAUUUAAAUACAGAUGGUCAGGUUUUGUUUAUGUAUACAGAGCCAACUGCUUAUACAAAGCAGUGCCCUAUACAUAUAAACCAGCAAAGCCAUUUUAGAACCCAGAGUUUGAAAGAGUCUAUAUAAAUGUAAAUUACCAACCAAAGGGAGCAUAAAAUCUAUGGAUGUGAAAACGAGGCUACUAUCUUUCCUCAUCCAGCUCCCAUUGGCCAGCAUGGGCUCACACAGUGUUCUUUCAUUUGGGGAGUCUCUGGAGCAUGGAUUUAGCUGGGUUUCUGUGCCAGCGCUUCAGCUGGCAGUGAUUGGGUGACCUGUGUUUCCUCGGUGGUUGUUUGUCAUUGUCAGGGGGGCUUCCAGAUUUUACAGAGUCACUGAGGUCUUCACACAUCUGACUUGUCAUCCCAGCACUAUUUUGAUCCCUUGGAUUCUCCAGCAGGCAUCUUCCAGGAAAAUUCUGGGAGUGUCUUGGCCCAAUAUUUCAGUCUAAUGGCUAGGAGUAAGCUAGCUUUAUCCAAGGCCAGAGCUGAGCUCUAGUUGGGGAUAAAAUGCUACUGAAAGCUGUAUUAACUCUUGUACGCCACUAAUGUGUUUCAUUUGGGACCCUGCAGUAGCCAUUCACUAAAUGGGAUUCUGAGGCAUGAAAAAAGCUAAAGUGAGCUGCUCCCAACUUGUCAUUCUCAACAAGGGAGGAUGUGGCUCACAAUGGGGGAGGGGAUUGGUUGAAUAAGAGGGAAUGUCUGCAGACUGCUUGGAGAUCCACGCAGGAAGAACCCAGAGAAGAGCAAUCUAGCUAAAUGAAAUUGUUUUCUUUCUUUCCAACCACGGUAUAUUAAUUGGGCACAAAUCGGUCCACUUAAUGCCAAUUGACAUGAAGCAAUUUCCCAUUUGAUGGCAAUUGAAAACCCAUGCUUGCUGCCCCAAACCUGCUUGAUUGUUCCAAACAGAUUUCCCAUCCUAAAGUGGAAAUGGAUUUAAUUUGAUCUCUUCAGUCUGUUCGCCAUUAUGUGUGAAACAGUGGUAUUAGUAGCCAGGAAAUCAGCAGCUACCUGAGCAGUGGAGUGUUCAAAAUGGAGGCAUUCCAGCUGCUAGUGAAAAUUCAAAGGAAAGAGUCAUGCUAUAGUUGUGAUGGCUAGAGACCUGGGAUAGCAUAGCUGUUCUUUGUUGUUGUUGCAGCUGUCUCAUUGUUUUGAUUUGUCUUUUUCUUUUUUUUUUCUUUGCUGUUUCCUUAAGACUAGAGAAGCUUAAAGCUAAGGAGAGUCCUAGACAGCUACCUUGUCCAGUUGUCACUUCAAUGAGGAAACCCAGGCCUAACGAAGUUUUGUGACCUGCCUCAAUAAUAAUCUGCCCACUCUUUCUCACUCCUAUGUCUUUUUUAUUCUCAUGCAUUCCUUGCUCUCACUUCCAAGAAUUCUAGCUCAGAGCUCUAUCAGUGGAGAGGUAAUGGAAAGAAUAUAUGGUCUUAUAACUGAAAGUCUUGAGUUCAAGGGAUGUACCUGAGUCAUGUGACUUCUCAGGGCUUUGGUUCCCUUAUCAAUGAAAAGGAAAUACAGAUCCAUGCUUCCCAGUGUUUUUGCAACAAUCGAAUGAAAUAACUUAUGUAAAAGCAGUUUACAAAUUACACAGGAUCAUGAGAUGUAAAACAUUAUCCUACCAAAGCCCAAAGCCCCUCCUAGACAGGAGACAGGCCAAAUGGGUCAAAGGUUGGAAGCCAGGCAAGAAACAAGCUUUGAUCAAGUGACUGUAAGAAUCACGAGAGUACCAGUAGUACUCUCCACUCAUACCUCAAAUCAGAGAAAGAUUAGGGAUUAAAAAGCUGAAAAUAUUUGCAGAUGUUUGGCAUGGCUGUGGUUAGCCUUUUGACUUUUGGAACAAAUAACAUCUAGUGAUAUUUGUUUCACUUGUUUUUCUUUUAACUAAGUUGUCAGCCUAUUAUUUGAAAACUUUUUCCAUUCUAAAGCUCUAUUUUGUACAGAGAUAUCUAAUCACUUAUCUGAACAAAGAUGCAAACAUGGCCAUAUGGCCUUUGCCCUGUCAGAGAAAUCAGUGAAAUCAGAAAAAUCAGAGAGGCUUAUCCUAUAUUCUACUGGUAAUAUACCCAAGUGUUUUAUAAAAGUGUUUAUAGAAAUAUGUGCCCUUGGUGUUUUCACAAGUACAAGCAUAAAUGAAACAAGAUAUAGGCAGAUCAUCAUAGAUGAAGCUCUGGGCUAGGAGACACAAAGUGUUGCUUCCUGGUAGCUGUGUGACCUAGGGCAAGUCACUUCACCUCUCUGAGCUUCUGAGAGAUGAACAGGGGUACAAAAUGGGGAUAUGACAAUAUCAACCCCAGGAUUAAGCGAGAUGACAUCAUCCAGGUCUCAGCUCAAAUACCGCCUGUUCAGAGAGGCUAUAGUGCAUGCUGUGGUGGGUCACACAGAUCCCCCCUAUGAGGACUGAAGCAUCAUUUGCCUAGCUGCUGUGAGUGUUGGAAGCUGGAUCCCCUUCAUAGAUUGCCCUAAGCUGCCCAUCUCGCCCAAAAUCUUCCCACCAAAGGCAGCACACAUACAAUAGUGGCAAAUAAGAGGGUCUAAAGGCCAACUCCCCAGCCCCAACUCAAGAUACACUGUAGGACUACCCCAGCUUCAAGGCUUUCUGUGGUGUUGGAGGCUGAGGUUUUGCUGUGACUAUGUAAUAGCCCAACUUCUGUUUCUGCCCAAUCCUAUUUCCUGUACAUAUGCUCCUAGACUUAUAACAGGGUUACAUCCUGAUAAACUCAUCACAAGUUGAAAAUAUCAAGUUAAAAAUGCAUUUAAUACUCCUAACCUACCAAACAUCAUAGCUUAGCCCAGCCUACCUUAAACAUGCUCAGAACGCUUACAUUAGCCUAUGGUCGGGCAAAAACAUGUAACACAAAGCCUAUUUUAUAACAAGGUGUUGAAUAUCUCAUGUAAUUUAUUGAAUACUACACUGAAAGUGAGAAACAGAAUGGUUGCAUGUGCACUCGUAGUGCAGUUUCUACUGAAUAUAUAUCACUUUCACACCAUCUUAAAGUCAAAAAAUUGUUAAGUUUAGCCAUCUUUUUUUUUUAAUGGGUAAUUUUCUUUUUUUUAUUAUUAUUAUACUUUAAGUUUUAGGGUACAUGUGCACAAUGUGCAGGUUAGUUACAUAUGUAUACAUGUGCCAUGCUGGUGUGCUGCACCCAUUAACUCAUCAUUUAGCAUUAGGUAUAUCUCCUAAAGCUAUCCCUCCCCCCUCCCCCCACGCCACAACAGUCCCCAGAGUGUGAUGUUCCCCUUCCUGUGUCCAUGUGUUCUCAUUGUUCGAUUCCCACCUAUGAGUGAGAAUAUGCGGUGUUUGGUUUUUUGUUCUUGUGAUAGUUUACUGAGAAUGAUGAUUUCCAAUUUCAUCCAUGUCCCUACAAAGGACAUGAACUCAUCAUUUUUUAUGGCUACAUAGUAUUCCAUGGUGUAUAUGUGCCACAUUUUCUUAAUCCAGUCUAUCUUUGUUGGACAUUUGGGUUGGUUCCAAGUCUUUGCUGUUGUGAAUAGUGCCACAAUAAACAUACGUGUGCAUGUGUCUUUAUAGCAGCAUGAUUUAUAGUCCUUUGGGUAUAUACCCAGUAAUGGGAUGGCUGGGUCAAAUGGUAUUUCUAGUUCUAGAUCCCUGAGGAAUCGCCACACUGACUUCCACAAGGGUUAAACUAGUUUACAGUCCCACCAACAGUGUAAAAGUGUUCCUAUUUCUCCACAUCCUCUCCAG
rnacentral:lncRNA from 10 species